GCGCCCGCCGCGUCGAUGAUGCACUAGAAUAAUGUCAGCGCUGAAAAAGGUUCUGCCUGGCAUACUGCAGAAGCAUUGCUGUAUUUUACCUGACAGGAACACAGAUAUGACCCUACAUAAAAUACCUGCUCUGAAAGAAAAGAGAUUUGGGAACCAGACAACAAGUCAGUCUUUUAACUGAACAACAAAACAUGAUCGUAUGCUUGAGGACAGAUUUUUACACCAGUCUUGAAUCCACAAAUCUUCCAUAUUUUGACAUCCUCCUGGCACAGAAUGGACAGAGAACAUUUAAUACAGCUUCUGAAAGAAUGCUUUUCUGCUGGGGAUCUUGUUCAGCCCACCAGCCGUCACCUGAAGAUCCCAGACUCAUCAUAGCUUCAGUAUAUCAGUAAAUCUGUUGAUUAUGAACCCAGAAGGUCUAUUGCAAUUACCUUACUUAAUCUUUUAUAUACUGCAGUUCAUGGGAUUUCCAUUAAAUAAUACUUAUUUGAAAUGGACUCUAUCUUUUAGGAGGAAAAAACAUCUGAUUAUGAUUUCAAAAAUAUAGUAAUUUUUAAAAGAACUGUCCCCUUUAUCUUUGUGUUCUCAGUGCACAUCUGAGCCACAUACUUAACAACGCCUUACUUUAGUGCCCUUUCAGUCCCCAGUAAAACUUUCUGAUAAUAUUGUUGCAAGAGCAUAAUACCUAGUGUCUUGAUGGGACUUGCUAUUAAUUAAGCUGAAAGAAAUUCUUAUUUGCUCAUGUAGUGGUUCUGGAGUGUUCAAUCAGGUAGUUGUUACUGUCUUUGUCUUUGUAUCUUUCUGUGUGAUUGCAUUUCUGGAGAAUGGCUUUGUUUCGGGUAACAAACGUUAUACUUUUAAGACAAACAGGGAGUGACACAAAUAACUUAGUGAGUUCCUGACAAUACUUGCACAUCUUUUGUACUGAAAAAUGUGAAACCAUUAAAUAUACCAUACAGUAUGCAAUUGUAGGCAGGACAGAGAGUGCUGGCUUAUAGGUUGUUGCUUUUUUUUAAUUUUAUUUUUUCC